CCUAAAUGUGGUGUGCACACAGGUGAGAUUCAGAAGGACAUGCUGAAGUUUGGUAUAAUUGUGUGUAUAUUCACAAAGAUCAGAAAUUCAAUAACAUCAGUAGUGAGUAAUGCUUUUUUCUCACUGCAGUACCAGCAAUUCAGAUUCUGGCUUACAAAGCAACCAAAGUGGUGUUUGCUUGGUUUUGCACAAGUUCCUCAGUAGAUGUAAGUCAACAUCUCAGGCCACCUUCACGCAGCCUAGGAAAGUGCAGAGGUUGCAGGUCACGUUCGUAAUGCACUCACAAGCUCAUGGGAGAGUUUCCAGAACAACUGCUUAGUUUAGUCAACCCCACUGUUUCCUCACCUUUAUGAGCAAUGGAGCCACAUCAGCAUUGUAAUACAGAGGAGGGAAUACCACAGGUACUGACAAUAAGUGUGAGGGACUUUUAUGUUAUUGCCCACUGUUUUGCACAUGGUCUGGUAUGAUUCAUCAUAUUCCCAAAAUGGGAGCACUGUUACAAAGACAGCGAUUUGGAAAUCUCAUCUAAUUGAGCCAUGAAGAAAUCAGACAUAACAAAAGAAUGGAAACAGCUGAUGUACCCCACGCUAACCGUAAAACUAGCUACAAAACAAUUCAUGUCAUGGGCUGUGAACUCAGGGAAGAAGAGAUAACUCUGAUCAGUAUCCAGCCAGGAGAGGGUCUAAUGUAUGCAUAGUGAUACCAGCCAUCAGGAUUUUAACUUGCUGUGAUUUAGUGGGCCUAUUUAUAAAACAGGUACCUGUACUCGUCCUUCCAGGUUUUCAAGGCGCUCUCACGUUCUACCAGUCUGUUAGCUGAGUUUUGAAAACAAGCCUGUGCAUUUGAAUUGAGGAAUUUCUAGUCUGCCAAAAAUGUGGAAGAUCUCUUUCCUUUCUCUUCACCUUCAACCCUGCCAGCAAUGGACUGUGUUGGCUUUCUUAUAAACACUUCAAGAAGUGUUUGUUUUGGAAGCCAUGCCAGUGUGCUGUUUUUCUGAACAUUCAGCACUGGUUCCUGUCUGUCUGGUGUUUCAGUUGAGGUUUUAGGUGUCUCCUCCAUAGGCAGAGCAUUGCCAGUAGGUUGAGGGAGGUGAUCAUUCCCCUCUCCUCAGCACUGGUGGGACACAUCUGGUUCUCUCCAGUACAAGAGACAUGGAUAUAAAGGAGAGAGUCCAGCAAAGGGCCACAAGGAUGAUUCAGGCCUUGGAGCAUCUGUCAAACAAGGAGAGGUGACAGCUGGGGCUGGAGAAGAGAAGGCUCAUGGUGACCUUCCCAGAAAGAAGACGGGUUGCUGUUUCCAUUUAACCAAACAGCACAUGCACUACUUGGAUGGCCAUUCAAGUGGCAAAGAAGACCAGUGGGAGGCCAGAAGGAGCUUUCCUUAAUCUAAAGGGUUCAAAAAAUGCUGGGAACUUGUGGCUGCUCUCACUUAAGUAAUGGGGCAGUGGAGCUGACAGGUUUUAUGCAUUCUGCUCUGCAAGCUGUGGAUUGUGAAUCUGAACACAAGGAUUUUCUGAUGUGAUGUCUGAAAGUUCAGCCUCAAUAGACAAUACUUUCACUUUUAAUCCAGAUACAGCACAAGAUUUUUACUGUCUUCUGCCAAAGAACUCCUCCCCUGUUCUUCAGC